AGGCUUCCGUACCCUCUGCUUCCUCUUCCCUGCCAGCUCAUGCUGCAGGUCCUUGGCCUGCAGCUCCAGCCUGGCCCUCCGCUUGACCUGCUCUUACAGCUCUCUGCUCGACUGCUCCUUCCCCGUUUCCAUGGCCUUGAACCAGGACUUCAGCUGAAGGACAACGUGCCGUUUGUCCUUUAAAGGAAGACAGAGCGGGGAGGGUAGAGGCUUCAUCUUAAUCUCCAGCUACUAGAAAACUCAAAAUCCCCUGGGGUUGAAAAUUAAUUGAGCCCAGAUCAAGACGGCUUUAUCUGAAGUAACGCACAAUAACUUCAUACCGAAGGACGAUGGAACAACUAUGGAACACAGGUCCAAUAAGGAAAUCCCACCUCUUUUAUACUCCACUGAAGAGGUGUAUGUCACUGUUUCCUUUUCUUUAUUUUCUUCAAGUAAUCAAAUAAUUUAGGACAUCAAACAGAACGUUUAAGGCAGUGCAGUAAUUGGGCUUAAUUGAAAUUGACGAACUGGCGACUGAAUUGGUAUGGGGCUUAGAAAGGAGGUAGGGAAGUUGAACAUGGAGGAUUCGUAGUUCUUGCCGAGGGUAAACUCCUUAGUGAAGAGGGAAGCGGUUUCCUGGUUGCAGGGGGCGGGAGUGGCCGGGGGUGUGGAGGAGAGGACCUCCGAUUCGAACUGGAGCAGCUGGCCCAUGAAUCCAAAGUUUGGGGAGAUGAGGGCCCGUCGCUGCUUGAUGAAGUCGAAGGCCUCCUCCAGCUGCAGGCUCUUGGUCUUCAUAAUGUAGGCCAUGCAUAUGGUGGGAGAUCUGGAGAUGCCUGCCUCGCAGUGGACCAGUACCUUCCCACCUUCUUGCUUCACAAAAUCUGGAAGACAAAACAGAAAGCUUUGUGAAGGGAGAUUCCUCAUUUUUGGAUUUAGUUUCACUUUCCACAAAACUCAAAACAGUCAAGGAAACCUUAAGCUGAUGGUGUUUUUCAAAGGACUGGGUAUUACAGCAGAAAUAUGUUUGCCUUGUAGUAUAUCUUUCGCUUUUGUUUUUAUUCCCUUUUUUGUAAAGUAAAUGAGGUUGCAUUUGUGUAUGAAAUGCACUACAUAAAUUACUAUUAUUAUUAUUAUUAUUAUUAUUAUUAUUAUUAUUAUUAUUAUUAUAGGUAUUAUUUAGGUUUACCACUUGUCACUAUUUUUUUAACAAUGCAAAUGUUUAUACACAUUGUGUACAAUGUGAUUUUUUUACAACGUAAAGCGCAUUGAAUUCAGUUGUACGAAAUGAGCUUUUCAAAUAAAGAUUGAUUGAUUUUUUU